rfam:Glycine soja cultivar W05 scaffold2443_5, whole genome shotgun sequence.
AUCUGGUGGUGAGGGCAGCUUACACACAAUUUCUUGAAUCUUUCCCAGUUCUCAUACAAGCUUUCUCCACUAAGUUGCCUAAUGCCUAAAAUGUCCUUUCUAAUGGC